ACUCCUGGGCUCAAGCCAUCCGCCCACCUUGGACUUCUCAAGUUUCGAGAUUACAGGUAGGAGCCACCAUUGCCCCGCCCUGUUCUCUUUUACACUGGUUUAUUGUAAGGGCCUCCAGUUGUUUUCCUGACUUCUAGGCUUGCUCACUUCGGCCUGUCCACUGAAGCCAGAGGAAUUCUCCUAAAAGGCAAAUUUGGGUUAAAAUAGUUCUUGAUUAAAACCUGCUGGUGACUGCCCAUUGCCUUUAAGACAGAGUCAAACUAAUUUGGCCACAGGGCCUGGUAAGAGCUGGUCUCCGCUCACCUUCCCAGUUUUAUCUCGCACCACCCUCCCCAUAUCCCUACCCUCUAGCCACAUGGAAUGUAAAUUUCCUUGGGGGACUUUACUGGUCCUGCAGGAAACCCUCUCCCUACCCCCAUCAUCACUCUUUCACUCUCAUCGUUGCUCAUCUUUAGCCUCAGCCGAGAUGUCUCACCCCACUCUCUGUGAUGCAACAAGAAGCCCCUUGGGAGCGUUUCAGUCCCACUCUGAACUUCUGUCAUGUGCUCAUCACAGUCUGAACCAGCUAAGCUGAAGAUUCCCUUGAGAACAAGGGCAAGCCUGUGGUUUCAUGGCCUUUCUUCCAUUUGUGGUUCUUGCCAAGUGGAAUUUAAGUGACCUCUUAUCAAGAUGGAUAAACCCAAGUUUCCCAGUGCUGGAAUAUAGAAAACGGAUGGACAACUGGAUCUACCAUGAAAGACUUCAGAGUCCAGGAAGAGAGACUGACUGGGCAGCAUGUUAUUCAGGGUCUUGCUCUGUUGUCCAGGCUGGAGUGGCAGUGGUGC